GCAAGUACCUAGUUUUCAACCUUAUACUCUCUUAAGUUUUAGAUACAACUAUUUAGACUUAAGAUUUGCUCUGAGCCUAAAACUUGUAGGUAGCAAUUGCUUGAUCUAAGUCUAGGUAGUUGACGGAUAUGAUAUGGGAAAGUUUUGAGCUGAUGUUAGUCUUGCUCCUAGAGAUGCUAGAGUUUUAGAGAAUUUUAAUUUUAAAAUCUUAAACUACUACAUGAUGAUUUCAUUUAUGAUGAGAGUUUAAAAUUCCUACCACACCCAAAUACUCAUGCUUACUAGAUUAGGAACCCCUUCCACUUAUAUUUCAACUUAUAAGCAUUGAGGGUAGUUAACCUAUGUUCACCCUAAGGAACUACUCAUGCAGUUAAAGUCAAUAUUAUGUGCUCUCCAUCCAUUGAUCUUAGCUACAGCUAUCCUCAGAAGUACGCAACCACUUACAUCCACACAUUCACUAUGUGCUACUUCUAUUCCUGGAAGUACCACCCACAUAUACGCACUACACUAUAUGUUGUUUCUAUCUUGGAAACACGCACCUCUGCUGCUCCUACCCUGGGAUUAUGCAUUCACCCAUACACAUCCCACAUCCACUUAGAAAAUGUUCUACUGCUACACUAGGAGAAGAUACCCAAAAAUAUUCAAUGUCUUAUUCUACUUAUCCGAUAAAACUCCAGUUAUUUCAGUUGAUACUCCGUAUUGUUAUCAGUGCAUUAAAAGGGUUGGCUGAUCUCUAAAAAAGAGAGAAAGAAAGAGAGAGAAAAAAAAUAAAGAGGACAAAAGUCCCAAAAGAAAAAGAAAGAAAACCAAGUCUUGAUUUUCAGAUUAGGGAGGUAUGUUAUUCCAAAGGAGCAACUGUAGAAUUAGAUAUUCAUCAUCUGUCAUCGCCGCUCAUAACCACUUUCAUUCUUUUCAUUCACAUGCACAUAUGACAUGAUUGUAUAAUUAGUUUCUCUAGAUCCAUGGUCUAACUAUGCAAUACAUACAAGUAGGUUUGAAUUGUCUUUCCCACCUAUGUGCUCCACAGAAGCCAAUUAGAAGUAGGGUGAGAGAGAGAAGGCAUACUCACUUGCCUUGGAGAGGAUCCAAAAAUACCACAUAUGAGAGACUGGAAAAGGUUAUACAAGGAAUCUUAAAGUUUUAUUUGAAAACCUUGCAAAAACUCCGAAAUAAUAGUUGAUCAUAAGGGCG
rnacentral:lncRNA from 1 species